AGUUAAACAGUACGUGAAAUUGUUGAAAGGGAAACGAUUGAAGUCAGUCGUGCUGGCGCGAAAUCAACCCUCUCGUCGAGAGGACACAUGGCGUGGCGAGCCUCAAAACCGUCACGAAGCGUGAACUCUUGGCGAAAAGGAGCACUUUCGUGUCCGCUGGUUAACAUCAAUUUCGAACGUCAUAAAAAGGCUGGAGGGAUGUGGCUCCUUCGGGAGUGUUAUAACCUUUAGCGGAAUGUGGUGGUCGGGAUUGAGGAUUGCAACGAAUACCUUUAGGGCUGUUCCACCUGGCUUCUCUUUGGUAUCCUGGUGAAGACAGCUUGCUGACUUUGUUAGGAUUCGCCUUUGAACAGGCUAGAGUGUGAGCAAAUUCGUUAAGGAUGUUAACGUAAUGGCUUUAAA
rnacentral:misc_RNA from 1 species